rnacentral:rRNA from 1 species
GGGAGCUUGAACAGGUGCUGCAUGGCUGUCGUCAGCUCGUGUCGUGAGAUGUUCGGUUAAGUCCGCUAACGAGCGCAACCCUCGCUGUGUGUUACAAGUGUCACACGGAACUGCCGGUCAUAAACCGGAGGAAGGUGGGGAUGACGUCAAGUCAGCAUGGCCUUUAUAUCCUGGGCUACACACACGCUACAAUGGGAAGGGACAAUAGGUUGCGAAGCCGCGAGGCGGAGCCAAUCCAGCAAAACUUCCCUCAGUUCAGAUUGCAGGCUGCAACUCGCCUGCAUGAAGUUGGAGUUGCUAGUAAACGCAGGUCAGCCAUACUGCGUUGAAUACGUUCCCGGGGCUU